rnacentral:tRNA from 1 species
UCCCCGAUAGCUCAGUUGGUAGAGCAGCGGACUGUUAAUCCGCUUGUCGUUGGUUCGAGUCCAACUCGGGGAGCCA